rnacentral:rRNA from 1 species
GACGUAGGGCGCGAGCGUUGUCCGGAUUUAUUGGGCGUAAAGAGCUCGUAGGCGGCUUGUCGCGUCGUCCGUGAAAACCUGCAGCUCAACUGCGGGCUUGCGGUCGAUACGGGCAGGCUGGAGUUCGGUAGGGGAGACUGGAAUUCCUGGUGUAGCGGUGAAAUGCGCAGAUAUCAGGAGGAACACCGGUGGCGAAGGCGGGUCUCUGGGCCGAUACUGACGCUGAGGAGCGAAAGCGUGGGGAGCGAACAGG